CAGUAGCCACGGGAAUACGAAGGGGGCUAGCGUUGUUCGGAAUCACUGGGCGUAAAGCGCACGUAGGCGGACUUUUAAGUCAGGGGUGAAAUCCCAAGGCUCAACCUUGGAACUGCCUUUGAUACUGGAAGUCUUGAGUUCGGGAGAGGUGAGUGGAACUGCGAGUGUAGAGGUGAAAUUCGUAGAUAUUCGCAAGAACACCAGUGGCGAAGGCGGCUCACUGGCCCGAUACUGACGCUGAGGUGCGAAAGCGUGGGGAGCAAACAGGAUUAGAGACCCCUGUAGUCCCUGUCUCUUAUAC
rnacentral:rRNA from 1 species